UACAUGCAAGUCGAACGGUCUUUCUAUGGAAGCUUGCUUCCACUGAGAAGAUAGUGGCGAACGGGUGAGUAACACGUGGGUAACCUGCCCAUAAGAGGGGGAUAACAUCCGGAAACGGGUGCUAAUACCGCAUAGUUUUCUUGAUCGCAUGAUUGAGAAAGGAAAGACGGCCUUUGUGCUGUCGCUUAUGGAUGGGCCCGCGGCGUAUUAGUUAGUUGGUGAGGUAACGGCUCACCAAGACGAUGAUACGUAGCCGACCUGAGAGGUGAUCGGCCACAUUGGGACUGAGACACGGCCCAAACUCCUACGGGAGGCAGCAGUAGGGAAUCUUCCGCAAUGGACGAAAGUCUGACGGAGCAACGCCGCGUGAGUGAAAGAAGGUUUUCGGAUCGUAAAACUCUGUUGUCAGAGAAGAACAAGUUGGAGAGUAACUGCUCCAGCCUUGACGGUAUCUGACCAGAAAGCCACGGCUAACUACGUGCCAGCCGCCGC
rnacentral:rRNA from 1 species